UCCGGUUUGUCACCGGCAGUCUCAUUAGAGUGCCCAACUAAAUGCUGGCAACAUAGGACGAGGGUUGCGCUCGUUGCGGGACUUAACCCAACAUCUCACGACACGAGCUGACGACAGCCAUGCACCACCUGUAUACGGCCCAAAAGGACCUGACAUCUCUGCCAGUUUUCCGUAUAUGUCAAGCCCAGGUAAGGUUCUUCGCGUUGCAUCGAAUUAAACCACAUGCUCCGCUGCUUGUGCGGGUCCCCGUCAAUUCCUUUGAGUUUUAGCCUUGCGGCCGUACUCCCCAGGCGGGGCACUUAAUGCGUUAGCUCCGGCACGGGAGGAGUCGACACCUCCCACACCUAGUGCCCAUCGUUUACGGCGUGGACUAC
rnacentral:misc_RNA from 1 species